GACGAACGCUGGCGGCGUGCCUAAUACAUGCAAGUCGAACGCACUCUCGUUUAGAUUGAAGGAGCUUGCUCCUGAUUGAUAAACAUUUGAGUGAGUGGCGGACGGGUGAGUAACACGUGGGUAACCUGCCCUAAAGUGGGGGAUAACAUUUGGAAACAGAUGCUAAUACCGCAUAAAACCUAACACCGCAUGGUGUAGGGUUGAAAGAUGGUUUCGGCUAUCACUUUAGGAUGGACCCGCGGUGCAUUAGUUAGUUGGUGAGGUAAAGGCUCACCAAGACCGUGAUGCAUAGCCGACCUGAGAGGGUAAUCGGCCACACUGGGACUGAGACACGGCCCAGACUCCUACGGGAGGCAGCAGUAGGGAAUCUUCCACAAUGGACGAAAGUCUGAUGGAGCAACGCCGCGUGAGUGAAGAAGGUUUUCGGAUCGUAAAACUCUAGUUGUUGGAGAAGAAUGUAUCUGAUAGUAACUGAUCGAGGUAGUGACGGUAUCCAACCAG
rnacentral:rRNA from 1 species